CCUACGGGUGGCAGCAGUGGGGAAUAUUGGACAAUGGGGGCAACCCUGAUCCAGCCAUGCCGCGUGUGUGAAGAAGGCCCUCGGGUUGUAAAGCACUUUCAGUGAGGAAGAACGCCUGGUGGUUAAUACCCAUCAGGAAAGACAUCACUCACAGAAGAAGCACCGGCUAACUCCGUGCCAGCAGCCGCGGUAAUACGGAGGGUGCGAGCGUUAAUCGGAAUUACUGGGCGUAAAGCGCGCGUAGGUGGCUUGAUAAGCCGGUUGUGAAAGCCCCGGGCUCAACCUGGGAACGGCAUCCGGAACUGUCAAGCUAGAGUGCAGGAGAGGAAGGUAGAAUUCCCGGUGUAGAGGUGAAAUGCGUAGAGAUCGGGAGGAAUACCAGUGGCGAAGGCGGCCUUCUGGACUGACACUAACACUGAGGUGCGAAAGCGUGGGUAGCAAACAGGAUUAGAUACCCUGGUAGUC
rnacentral:rRNA from 1 species